GUGCUCGCUUCAGCAGCACACACACUAAAACCGGAAGGAUGCAGACAAGAUUAGCAUGGCCUGUGCAUGAGAAUGACACACGAAUUCGUAAAGCAUUCCAUAUUUUU